AGCAGUAGCCGCGGGAAUACGGAGGGAGCUAGCGUUAUUCGGAAUUACUGGGCGUAAAGCGCACGUAGGCGGCUUUGUAAGUAAGAGGUGAAAGCCCAGAGCUCAACUCUGGAAUUGCCUUUUAGACUGCAUCGCUUGAAUCAUGGAGAGGUCAGUGGAAUUCCGAGUGUAGAGGUGAAAUUCGUAGAUAUUCGGAAGAACACCAGUGGCGAAGGCGGCUGACUGGCUCGAAACUGACGCUGAGGCGCGAAAGCGUGGGGAGCAAACAGGAUUAGAUACCCCAGUAGUCCCUGUCUCUUAUAA
rnacentral:rRNA from 1 species